GACGAAGGGGGCUAGCGUUGUUCGGAAUUACUGGGCGUAAAGCGCGUGUAGGCGGUUGCCCAAGUCAGGUGUGAAAGCCUUGAGCUCAACUCAAGAAAUGCACUUGGUACUGGGUGGCUAGAGGACCGGAGAGGAUAGUGGAAUUCCCAGUGUAGUGGUGAAAUACGUAGAGAUUGGGAAGAACACCAGUGGCGAAGGCGGCUAUCUGGACGGUUUCUGACACUAAGACUCGAAAGCGUGGGGAGCAAACAGG
rnacentral:rRNA from 1 species